UUUUUUUCCGCAGUGAGGAAGUUUAUUCAGGCUCCAGAGCAAGAAACGAGGUGUUGGAGGGUUUGCUUGCAGCCUGCUUUUCUCACAGAUGUUUGCACAAAGGAGGAAAAUGUAGCUCAAGGCGAGUGGGAAAUUCUUGUCUGAUAAACACUUUCAAGAGAAUUCCAGUGGGACAGUGAGAUGCAACAGGCGUUGCCAGCUCAAAUACUACUGUAAUUAAAGAACAUGAAAGAGGACGACUUCAUGGGAGA